AUACAUGCAGUCGAGCGAAGAUUUAAAAGCUUGCUUUUGAAUCUUAGCGGCGGACGGGUGAGUAACACGUGGGCAACCUGCCUGUAAGACUGGGAUAACUUCGGGAAACCGGAGCUAAUACCGGAUAAUGCUUCUUCUCACAUGAGAGGAAGCUGAAAGAUGGCUUCGGCUAUCACUUACAGAUGGGCCCGCGGCGCAUUAGCUAGUUGGUGAGGUAACGGCUCACCAAGGCGACGAUGCGUAGCCGACCUGAGAGGGUGAUCGGCCACACUGGGACUGAGACACGGCCCAGACUCCUACGGGAGGCAGCAGUAGGGAAUCUUCCGCAAUGGACGAAAGUCUGACGGAGCAACGCCGCGUGAGUGAUGAAGGUUUUCGGAUCGUAAAACUCUGUUGUUAGGGAAGAACAAGUACCGUUCGAAUAGGGCGGUACCUUGACGGUACCUAACCAGAAAGCCACGGCUAACUACGUGCCAGCAGCCGCGGUAAUACGUACGUGGCAAGCGUUGUCCGGAAUUAUUGGGCGUAAAGCGCGCGCAGGUGGUCUCUUAAGUCUGAUGUGAAAGCCCCCGGCUCAACCGGGGAGGGUCAUUGGAAACUGGGAGACUUGAGUGCAGAGAGAAGAGU
rnacentral:rRNA from 1 species